CCUGCCCCUAGAGGAAUGACAGGUGUGCCUGGUAUGUCACAUGUACCUAAGUAGGUAGUAGAAAGGAGAGAAAGGCUAUGUCUACACACAGUGUUUUGACCUAUAAACAUCAGAAUGAUCAAUAGCCUAACAUC